rnacentral:rRNA from 1 species
GACGAACGCUGGCGGCGUGCUUAACACAUGCAAGUCGAACGAUGAACCGGGUGCUUGCACUUGGGGAUUAGUGGCGAACGGGUGAGUAACACGUGAGUAACCUGCCCUGGACUCUGGGAUAACCCCGAGAAAUCGGAGCUAAUACCGGAUAGGACCUUCUCCCGCAUGGGGGUUGGUGGAAAGUUUUUCGGUUUGGGAUGGACUCGCGGCCUAUCAGCUUGUUGGUGAGGUAAUGGCUCACCAAGGCGUCGACGGGUAGCCGGCCUGAGAGGGUGACCGGCCACACUGGGACUGAGACACGGCCCAGACUCCUACGGGAGGCAGCAGUGGGGAAUAUUGCACAAUGGGCGCAAGCCUGAUGCAGCAACGCCGCGUGCGGGAUGACGGCCUUCGGGUUGUAAACCGCUUUUAGUAAGGAAGAAGGGGCUUCGGCCUUGACGAUACUUGCAGAAAAAGGACCGGCUAACUACGUGCCAGCCGCCGCGGUAAGAC